CCACAGCACAGCAGCCUCCCCCAAUCCACAGCUGCAUACAGAUGGACUUAGCACAAGUUUUAUACCGAAUGCCCUUCCUGAUGCAAACCUUCCUGUUGUCAGCAACAAGGAGUGGGUUUCAAACGAGAACCAACUUGCAGGGCCACUUGCUGUCGCAUCUGAGCCAUUGACAACCUCAAUAAGAAAUGAACAGCAUUUUGAGACAACAGGGGAUGUCACCUUUUACUCAUGUGAGGGAAUUUACAGCGUUAUUCCAGAUGAUUCAUCUGCAGGACCAAGUACUUCACGUGUGCUGUACGCCACUUCUUUCAAAAAAAAGGCAUCAUGGAAGUCACCAGAACAAGACUUCACCUGAAUGUGAUGCAUAAAUCCAUUACAUGCAUGUAUUUUGUUCAUUUCAUCGUUGUGCUACUCCAGGACAAUGCAACAGUGUUGACCUGACAGAUUAAGCCACAAGGACAGUGCAUUGUUCAUACAACUUGAACUUUUCACAUUUUGUCACAUAAUUUCAAAUGACUUUGAAAAUGCAAAG